rnacentral:misc_RNA from 1 species
CGAAUCACCAUCCAGCAGCGCCUUUACCCAUCUCUGCAUAGAAAAACAAGAAGCGUACGAAGUACCCCCCACACUCGCCCCCACCCGUUCACAAACACGCACGCACACGCCAACACCGUUGUACGACGCCUAUCAUCCUCGUCGAACCGUCAAGCACAAACAGGAGCGACGCGCACGGAAGAGCACAAAAAAGCGCAAAGUGGGAAGCAAUACGAAAACGUGACACGCUGUUUUGGAUCCUUGGCUUUGGCACUUUUUUCCCCAUUCGUGCGCGAUAACACGGGGUUUCGCUCUCGCUUGCACGGUCAGGACGGAAUCACAAGCACGCAUGCACACCGGUCGUGAGCUGCCCCUUCCCGCCUCUUCUGCUGUUUUGCUCCGCUCUCGUUGAUUUCGCCAUUGAGCCCAAAUACCCGUCUGCGAACUCUCCCGUUCGUGGUGCAUAUCCGCAGAACAAGCAUCCACAUCAGAGCCAUGACCUUCUCCGUCAAGGGCGGCAGCUACUCGUCGUCGCACCCCAGCCCCGCGAUGCACCCCUACGUCUCACCGUCCUUGCUGCCGCAGUCUCACGGGCAGCAGGCGCCGCCAUCUUUCUCCUUGGGGGACGAGCAGUAUGUCGGGGUACCGAAGCGUGUCGGCGUCGACCCUACCAAGUACAAGACUACCAUCUGCCGCAACUGGGAGCAGACAGGGACAUGCACAUUCCGCGGCUGCACUUUCGCCCACGGCGUCGAGGAGCUCCGCGCGCCUUUUCGGCCCGACGGGCACACGCCGGUGCUGCGCCCGCAGCACAUCUCUCCCGGCAGUACACCUCCUCUGCGUGCCUCGCAGCCGCCACCGCCGCCGCCGCCGCCAUCUUCAGGCCACUAUACGCUCGAGCAGUUACUUGACAUGCUGUACAAGGAGGUCCUUCAUCAGCGCGAGCUCGUGACGGUGCACGUCGAAGCCAACACCACGCUUGAGGGCAUGCUGCGCCGAGAGCAAGCCCAGCACGAUCUUUCUAAGAAGCAGCUGGAAGAGAAGACUCAGCAGUGCGAGUUGCUCGCUAGAGAACUCUUUGCCCGAAAUCAGCAACUGCGUAAGGCGGCUGACAGCUCUCCGGAGAUCAAGGGGCUGCUCGAUCAGUGGGAGACGCAGCUGGCAAGCUUCUCGGAGGCGGAUGCGAAGAAGGAUGACGUGUUUUACACCGCCACCGCCACAUCCUCAACGGAUGAUGGCGGGGAUUCUGGAAAGGAAUACGAAAGCGCGCGUAUUGAGGAGCUCCUACGUGCUCUGCAGCGGUAAGCGCGGCGCCGCUCUCUUCUGCCCCCGCUCGCCUCCGUGCUCGAGAGAGCCAUGACGCACGCGUCAAGGCGGGGAAGGAGCGAGAAGGAGAGAAGCGGGGAGAUGGCAGACGAACGGCUGCUAACCUCCAGUCCCACCUCCAAACGAGACGCGUGAAAUGCGCUGAUGAGUCAAAUGACACAUUAUCUGUUUUAUCGGUCUCGUUGGCAGAGCGAGCGAGGGCGGUGUUCGUUACCACCAGCGAGCGUUGUUCAUAUCCCGCCCGCAUGUAUGGAUGCUCCUGAGUAGACUUCACAUUUUCUUUUUGUCGGUAUCACGACUUUUGUGUUCUCGCGUUCUUGUUGAUGUGACACAAAGCAAAGACUGAUGGAGGGGAGGGGUGGGGCACUGUCGAUGGAGGCGCUGAGGGCGGACCAUUUGUCGCGAGGUGAAUGAGGCAUGAAGGCGGAGGGGCGGGGAUGGGGCCGAUGCUUCUUCCUGCAGGAAAGGCAGCCUUUUUUUUUGCGAAUACGGUGGUGUGGAUCUGUACGGUUAACACAUUGACCAGUAGUGAUGAGCUCUCGCUUCGUAGCGUUGCUGCUCCGCCCCCUCUUCCUCCCCUCUGUCUCAGUUUGUUUUUCGGCUUUCUUUUUUCCGUCUACCGUUUGCCGAUUUUGCGGGCGACUCUCUUGGCGCGUCUCUCUGACCGGCUCUUUCACGCGCACCCUGCCACCUUUCACAUCCUCACAAGCGCUUCACCUAGCAUCCCUGGCACGAACACAAACACAACUGUCAUUCCACGCGCGGCUGCUUCUAUCGUCGUGCACUUGAAUAGAUAACGCUGCUUUCUAUCUCCUCUUACUGGUCGCGUUUUUUCCGCUCGCCUUGCCAAUCUUCUUUUUCUGUUUCUCUCUUCGACGUUUGUGUUUGUGCUUGUGUGUGCGGGCGUGUGAGUGUGCUGCUGCAGUUUUACGUGACCCUUUGCCCCGCACUCCUGGAGAGACUCAUGCGCGUAUGCGCCGCUGAGUCCACGCGAUGGUGUUGUAGGGUCUGCCCGUGCAUGUACUUCUGUUGUUGUACCGAGCCCUGCGAGGAGGGCUUGAGAAGACUUACCGGAUCUGCAGGUAGGCGUAUGUGUAUGCGUGCAUCGACCACUGUCUAUUUUUACGCCGCUCGCCAUGACGUCCUCUUCUAGUAGCCGUGAGGAGUGGUGUGGCGGUAUGAAGAGAGCAGGCGCACACACGCGCGCUCACAAGCGUGCGCGCGUGUUUGUGCGUCUUUUUGUUGUGAGUCAAGUAAAAAGACAC